rnacentral:rRNA from 1 species
GACGAACGCUGGCGGCGUGCUUAACACAUGCAAGUCGAACGGAAAGGCCCUGCUUUUGUGGGGUGCUCGAGUGGCGAACGGGUGAGUAACACGUGAGUAACCUGCCCUUGACUUUGGGAUAACUUCAGGAAACUGGGGCUAAUACCGGAUAGGAGCUCCUGCUGCAUGGUGGGGGUUGGAAAGUUUCGGCGGUUGGGUAUGGACUCGCGGCUUAUCAGCUUGUUGGUGGGGUAGUGGCUGACCAAGGAUUUGACGUGUAGCCGGCCUGUGAGGGUGUCAGGCGACAAUGGGACUAAGAUACUGACCAGAGCCGUACAGGAGGCAGCAGUGGGGAGUAUUGCAGAAUGGGCGGAAGCCUGUUGCAGCAACGCCGCGUGCGGGAUUACGGCCUUCGGGUUGUAAACCGUUUUCGCUUGUGACGAAGCGUGAGUGACGGUACUGGGUAAAGAAGCACCGGCUAACUACGUG